UACGGAGGGAGCUAGCGUUGUUCGGAAUUACUGGGCGUAAAGCGCGCGUAGGCGGCUUUGUAAGUUAGAGGUGAAAAGCCCGGGGCUCAACCCCCGGAACUGCCUUUAAGACUGCAUCGCUUGAAUCCGGGAGAGGUGAGUGGAAUUCCGAGUGUAGAGGUGAAAAUUCGUAGAUAUUCGGAAGAACACCAGUGGCGAAAGGCGGCUCACUGGACCGGGUAUUGACGCUGAUGUGCGAAAAGCGUGGGGGAGCAAACAGGG
rnacentral:rRNA from 1 species